GACGAACGCUGGCGGCAUGCCUAAUACAUGCAAGUCGAGCGAACAGAUGAAGUGCUUGCGCUUCUGACGUUAGCGGCGAACGGGUGAGUAACACGUAAGGAAUCUACCUAUAAGCGGGGGAUAACAUUCGGAAACGGGUGCUAAUACCGCAUAAUAUCUUCUUCCGCAUGGAAGAAGAUUGAAAGACGGCUCUGCUGUCACUUAUAGAUGACCUUGCGGUGCAUUAGUUAGUUGGUGGGGUAAUGGCCUACCAAGACGAUGAUGCAUAGCCGACCUGCGAGGGUGAUCGGCCACAUUGGGACUGAGACACGGCCCAAACUCCUACGGGAGGCAGCAGUGGGGAAUCUUCCGCAAUGGGCGAAAGCCUGACGGAGCAAUGCCGCGUGAGUGAAGAAGGCCUUCGGGUCGUAAAACUCUGUUAUAAGAGAAGAACAAAUUGUAGAGUAACUGCUACAGUCUUGACGGUAUCUUAUCAGAAAGCCACGGCUAACUACGUGCCAGCCGCCGCCGUAA
rnacentral:rRNA from 1 species